CCGCGCGCCACGCCCCGACCCCGGACCCGCAGGGCCCCCGAGUGCACCUCCGCGCGCCAAGGAUGUGGACGGCUCGGGGACCUGGGAGACGCGGCUGGAACCGACCCUCUCCCGCCUCCUUGUUGACCAGACUUCAAUCAAGCGACGCCCUCCAGAUGUCUGUGCCUGUUGGCAGCAUGGAACCUCACUCAGGGAUUUUUUUUUUCCCGAGCCUUGUGGAUUUACAGUGUGGUGUGGGUUCCUCGUGGUGACCUGAGUGUGUUCAAGUCCAGUGAGCCAGGACGCUCCCAGCGGUCUCAUGGAGUUCUCUAGCCUGGAUGCCACCUGAAGACGCGGAGGGUCUCAUGGAGUUCUCUAGCCUGGAUGCCACCUGAAGACGCGGAGGUCAGCUGCCGCAGCUUCAAGGCUGGAUCUCGGUCCUUGCCUGCCUUGAUGGGAAUGCUUGUUUUGUCAUUGGUAGCUCGCCGGGUCUCCCUCGGAAACAGCAUCUUUAGACUCCACUCCCACAUCCCAGAGAAGGGGCUGUGACUCAGGUGCUUACUGACUGAGGAGGGCUCUGAGCCCCAGAGGUGAAGGCCCUAGCCGGAUGCUUGGAGGGUACCGUGGCUGACAACCUUUGGAUUAGCUCUGUGUGAGCCUGGAGACUACUGAGACACGCAUCCCGAGCUGGUGGCAAGUUGGAUACUUUUUACGUAACGAAGUAUCCACCUGUUGAUGCUGUUGCCAGACUUGGACACCUGCACGACCCAUUGAGAGAGGACAUGCACCCCAUUUCUUAGACUACUUCGAGACACCUUCUAGAAGGCUAAGGAACUUGCAGACUCCAUUCGCCACUGUUGUCCCUGCUGGGUGGAGAGGGCAGGGUGUGAAGGGCUUGCCAGGGCCGCUGAGCAGUGGAGGAGCAGCUGGUGCUCACCCAAGGUCGGCCUGCGCCCACGAGUCACACCCGAACCACUGCUCCACCUUCCCAGUGCUGAGCAGCCCACACUUCUCGUGCUAGAGACUUUCCCAAGGACACCGUCCUUUGGCACUGCUGGGUGUAAGUUAGGGCUAGGUGUGCUCUCGAGGAUGGAAUAUCAUUCCCAGUCCCUGCUGGCUGUGAAUGAAGAAGGGCCCCAGUCGUGCUUUUAGGUUGAAGGAGAACUCUAUGAAGUGAAGAAGCCAGGGCUCCUGCAAGGUUGCACCUGUAGAGUGGGGGUAAGCCUACCAUUAAAGCCAGUGACGAUGUAGGGGUCCCGGGCUGACUGUGCGUCACAUGAAGGAAGCAUUCAUGGCACACUAGGCCCAGGGGCAUUUGCUAUGGACACUAUAACAACAGAGAAAGCAUGUGGUGGCCUUUGACAGUCUUGCUGGAUGAGAGUUCCAGUGAAGUAAGAGUGUUGAAGAUGGAGCCGAGUCCCUCCUUUGCCCAGGCCACCUUUGAAGAGCCAGGCUAAGAGCAACUGUCCUUUCAUCCCUGCGGGGUCCCUGCAGAGCUGCUGCACCUUGGCGCUGCGGCAGGUCCAGAGAAUCCGAAGCUGCUCACUACGGCCCCGUUCCACCUGGGGACAUGUCCACCAUUAUUACCAUCUGUGUUGGUCAGGUGCUUCCUGUGGCCUCUGUAGUCAGGUCAUUCCGAGUGGCUUGCUUUACCACUUUUCAGGAAGCCACUGGGCAGUAGGGCAGGGAUUGGGAACCCCCCCACCCCGUCUGCCAGUCACCCACACAGCUCUGGCUUGUUCCAGUAUUGCCUAAUGAACUGUGGCCUACCUAAAUUAAGGAGGACACCCAUCCUGUGUUCUCUCAGGUCAGGGGUUUGGAGAGAGAUCGUUGUUGCUCUUGCCUGAAUCUCUCAGCCGCACAGUGGAAUUACCUGUACAAUGUACCCUCACCGAGGACGCAGCCAGACAGCCAGCUUCUCAGAAGCCCAGGGCAGGCCGCCCUGACCCCAGGCUGAGCUGCGUUGGCUCCUGAGCCUGUGCGCCUCCCGCAUCGCACGUGCGCGCUGGCUCGGUGAGACCUGCAGGACGUAACAGGAGUGAGGAGACCCGCUGAAGGAGGAGAAACCUCCAAGAUCUGGACCCUGUUCAGUCUCACCACACUCCUCGACAGAAGGUUCCAGAGUGUUUCCAUUUAUGGACAUGGAAAACGAGGCCCCAGGGGUCAAUUAAAUGUACCCAGAAGCACCUGACUCCUAGGGGUGGAGUUAGGCAUAGGUCCCCGGCAGCUGCCUGCCUCAGGCCUAGCUGCCAGGCCUGUGCUCUCUGCCCCCGGCUGCUUGCGGGAUUCCUGCUGGCCCUGGAGUCCCACUCGGGUCCCAGUUUGCCGAGACUGACGUUCCUCCCGACCCUGAGCGCUGCCAGCAGCGGCUCAUCCGAGUCAUCCUCCUGAUAACGACAGCGUAGGAAAUCCCGUAUUGAAAUCACUUCUAGGCAUCUAUGCAGGAUUUUAUGUUUCAGGGACAUUUGAGAGCUCACGGGUCUAGGUUUGGUACUCCUCUUUGAAUAUUGUGAGAGAGAGGAAGAGGUCUGGCUCUUUCAGAGGUGGUCGGAGACGUCCAGAUGCAUUGUGGGACCCCGAAGGCUGCUGUGGCUCAGAUGACCCAUCACGUCUCUCUCUCCCCCUCCCUCCCCCACUCUCGUGCUUUCUUUGACUUGAGCCUUGAAUGUUUUCCGAGGGUGGCUGUGGCUCACAUCCUGAGUUGUUUCUCGUGACCUGAGGUCAACCUCUUUUCUUUUCCAUACAUCAUUGAACUUUUGGAAGUAAAAUAUCAUCAUGAUCAUCAUUGCUGUCGUUUAUUGACCAGAUCGCAUCGCAACUCUGGGAAGACAAAGCCUGGAACAGUCAGACCAUUUGAGACACCUGACGUGCUCGAUGCCCACAUUGAUUAAUGACCUCACAUAAGCAUGGGGUGGAGAGAAGGGGAUCGUUUGUUUUUCAUUCAAUAAUGUUCAUAUCAGGAACAUUUUUCCAUUUCAUGACAGCACUUUACAACUGAUUAUUUUUACAAAGUGCAUCAUAGUUUCUUAAGUUGACAAAUCAUAUUCAAAACCAGUUGACAAUUAAGGUUCUCCCAGUUGGCCCUUACACCUGACAUCCUUGGAAACACAAUUUUUCUCCUCUUGGAAGAUUGUUUGGACACAUUUUCAGAGAAAGGCUUAUUGAAUCCAAUGGCACAGUUUUAUGACUCUUGACCCACAUUGCCAAAUGACUUUCAAAUGGAGUUGUUUACGCUGCCUUCAUUAACAAGAGACCUGCCAAGCUUCACCACAGCCCCAUCAACACCAGGUCCAGUCCCUGGUGUCCACUGUGACUCUGCCGGCUGUCUCCCUCACUGUGGGGCUUCCUCAUUGUUUCGAGCUACCCGGAGACAGGAAGAAGGCAGCAGGGGUGAAAUUGGCCUUUGAAAUCAUCCUGUGUAGCCGCCGACACUGCCAGUUAAGUGGGGCAGAUCUGAGUUAAUUGAUUAAUUUAGUCAUCGGAGCUAAGCAGGCCCCGAAGCUGCAUCAUCCUCCCCAGCUGACUGCUCUCUGAUGAAAGAACAUCCCCUCAGAGGGGUCAGCAACUUAGCAGAAGUCACACAGAUGAGAAGUAGCAAAGCAGUCCACAGGCUGACGUUCUAGGAUGGUUUGAGCUGUUUGAGGGCCGUGAUGAACCUUGGCAGGAGACAGAUCCAACAGGGACGCCGUCCCAGAGAGAAUCACACGUUUCUUCCGAAGGCUUCGAAGAUACAUGAAACUGAGGAAGAAGCCUGAAAACUUGCCCAGAAAGAACACGCUCUCACCCGUUCCACGCACCUCUCACCGCCCACUAUAUAUUUUAUGUGGACUCUGGUCACUGCUGAGCUACCUUCAGUUAAUGUUGCUGUGACAGAAUUUUUUUUCUUUUUUUUUGGUCUGGAGAUUUCAUUUUCAAUUAAAGUUACUUGUUGAACUGCCGUGGUUUUGAAAGGAUUCCAUUAGGAUGGCUAAUUACAUAGCAGUUGCUACCAGGAGAUAUUUGUACUCCAUUUCUGCUUUGAGGUAAUUCGAGUAAAAUGCUUUAUACUUUUCCUCCCUGGAGCUGUGCACACCCAUCUUCCUCUCACACUGCAGGCUUCCCAUGAGCUGUUUUUGGAAAUCCCAAUCCAAACAGCAAUUUUGGCAGAGGCCAUCUUUAGCCUAGCCGUCUCAACCAUAUGUGCCGAUAAAAACAGCCAACGAUUCAAUGCCUUUAAAGAGCAGUAAAACCAUCUCCCUGUUUGUGGAAUUAAAUGUUUGUAAACCACAAGCUGUCUUUCAUACUAUUGUAUUUCUUUGCAAACUCUAACUGAAAUCAGCAGACAUUCCUCUCAAAGAUUCGUCCCUUUACGAACUGUCGCCAUCAUUAUAGGGUUUCAAGAUGGCAGCUGCUGGGCUGGAGAGAUGGCUCAGUUAGUGACGUGCUUGUCUCUCAGCAUGAGGACCUGAGCUUGCCCUCCAGUACCCAUGUGAAUGCUGCUCACGGUGGCAUGAGUCUGUGAUCUCAGCAUUGGUGACGCUGAGACAGGCGGAUCCUUGGAAUUUGAUGGCAGUCUGGUAUAGACUAAUCAGUGAGCUCAAGAAGAGAUGGGUGGCGUACCCAAGGAGCCACACUCAGGGUUGUCCACCUCUAUAUUAGUAUGCCUGUGCACAUGAACAUGAUGUAACACCCAUGUUCAUACAUACAUACACACACAUGACAUACAUACGUUCACACACACGGUAACUGUAGAGGAAGUCACUGGGAGCCCUGCUUUGGUCUCUUUGGUCCCUCGAAGCAAGGACAUCAUUUUCUUAUUUCCUCUUCUGCCCUCCUCCUUCUGUUAUAUGUGCGUAGCAUGCACACUGCAUUGUGCCUUCUUCCCCCAGGUCGUCGGUCCACUUGUCCCAUGAGGAAGAGAUGAUGAACGAACCCUUAAAACACCAUUUCUGCUUCCUCUCUUGCUAAGAAAAUUGACCUUUCAUUACACGAAUAUGAAAUAAGAAGCCAGAAUUCUCUCAGUGAGACUGAAGUUUGCUGAUCUGUUUCCUCAGCUCAGCCAUGUUUGUGAGGAUUUUGGAGAACAUCUUUGCAGACCUUUCUUUUUUUAAAAUAUUUUAUUUUUAUUUAUUUACUUAUUGGCAGAGAAAGAGGGAGAGAAAGGGAGAG